ensembl:lncRNA BACH1-IT2 BACH1 intronic transcript 2
GAUGCCAAGCAGUAUGUUUAUACUUCUCUAAAAUGUAUUUUUCUCUAUAUAAAUAGUGUUUUUGUUAACUCUCACCGGCUCCAGUCUCAACUUUUGCCUCUAAUUUUUCCCAUAAUAUUCACUAACUCUAGUGAUAGCUGUCUAUGCGCAUUGUACUGAGACUAAUUCAGAGAGUGGGUUGGAUGAACUUUGGUUUGAUUUGUACGUAAUUGUUAAAAACUGUGUUUAAGAAAACAGUUGUACCCUUGGCAAAACCUGGAAGUCUCUAUGUUAACAAUUUUCCCAAUUUUUGUUUUAGGAAGCCAUUCUGCAUAUUAUGUUUUUAAAUAAAAGGAUUUGACUUUGGGCUGACAAUUUAGCAUUUAACCACUGUCUCCGCACCAGUUCCACAAGAGCAGGGAUUUAGAUUAAUUGGAAAAACCUCAUUGGUUUCUGAUGGAGGGGGCAUUCAUAGAAACAACCUACUGACAACUAAGGAGCUACUGCGAUGGGAUGGGCAGCCUGCAGCUUCACUCGGUGGGCAGCCUCCACAGAUGAGAAGAUGGAGCCUCCACAAGGCACAUAGCUGGCCUGUUGAUGCCACUGCUGUUGAAGUCUAUGUGAAUGGUGCCCCCUGGUGGAAGGAAAAAGAGAAUGGGACGCCAGGAAUGUCAGAUGCUUUUCAGCCUCUCCCCUGCUCUCACGCCUAGAA